GAUGCAGCCAUGCCGCGUGUGUGAAGAAGGCCUUCGGGGUUGUAAAGCACUUUCAGUAGGGAGGAAGGUAGUGUAGUUAACACCUGCAUUAUUUGACGUUACCUACAGAAGAAGCACCGGCUAACUCCGUGCCAGCAGCCGCGGUAAUACGGAGGGUGCGAGCGUUAAUCGGAAUUACUGGGCGUAAAGCGCAUGCAGGCGGCCUGUUAAGUCAGAUGUGAAAGCCCGGGGCUUAACCUCGGAAUUGCAUUUGAAACUGGCAGGCUAGAGUCUUGUAGAGGGGGGUAGGAAUUUCAGGUGUAGCGGUGAAAUGCGUAGAGAUCUGAAGGAAUACCAGUGGCGAAGGCGGCCCCCUGGACAAAGACUGACGCUCAGAUGCGAAAGCGUGGGGAGCAAACAGGAUUAGAUACCCUGGUAG
rnacentral:rRNA from 1 species